GGGAACUGAGCAGUCUUUUUUUUCACCCUUUACAAUUGCUCAGAGGUUGAGCUAAGGAUUUUAGGUAGGAAGGUUUCUGGGGGGCGAAUCAGGAACAAAAAAGGGUUCGAAUUUUCCAGGUAGACUUUUCCGAGGUGGGGAAAAUGCUUUUCAAUGAUUUUUGGCUUUGAAAUGUUGGAGCUCGACGAGGUUACAGGCAGAUGCUCUGCAGGACCUUACUGUUUGACAUGCAGUCCUUCAACAUGAGCAAGACAGCCAGGGUGGGUACUUCCCUUCACCACCUACUCACAGUUCCAGCUGUUAAGGGGCCAGACAGGUGCAUUGCAAGUUGGGG